rnacentral:rRNA from 1 species
UACGGAGGGGGUUAGCGUUGUUCGGAAUGACUGGGCGUAAAGCGCGCGUAGGCGGAUCAUCAAGUCAGAGGUGAAAUCCCAGGGCUCAACCUUGGAACUGCCUUUGAAACUCCCGGUCUUGAGGUCGAGAGAGGUGAGUGGAAUUCCGAGUGUAGAGGUGAAAUUCGUAGAUAUUCGGAGGAACACCAGUGGCGAAGGCGGCUCACUGGCUCGAUACUGACGCUGAGGUGCGAAAGCGUGGGGAGCAAACAGG